rnacentral:rRNA from 1 species
AGCGAACGCUGGCGGAAUGCUUUACACAUGCAAGUCGAGCGGCAGCACGGGGGCAACCCUGGUGGCGAGCGGCGAACGGGUGAGUAAUACAUCGGAACAUGCCCAGUCGUGGGGGAUAACACUUCGAAAGAAGUGCUAAUACCGCAUACGUCCUGAGGGAGAAAGCGGGGGAUCUUCGGACCUCGCGCGAUUGGAGUGGCCGAUGUCAGAUUAGCUAGUUGGUGGGGUUAAGGCCUACCAAGGAAACGAUCUGUAGCUGGUCUGAGAGGAUGAUCAGCCACACUGGGACUGAGACACGGCCCAGACUCCUACGGGGGGCAGCAGUGGGGAAUAUUGGACAAUGGGCGCAAGCCUGAUCCAGCCAUGCCGCGUGGGUGAAGAAGGCCUUCGGGUUGUAAAGCCCUUUUGUUGGGAAAGAAAAGCAGCCGGUUAAUACCCGGUUGUUCUGACGGUACCCAAAGAAUAAGCACCGGCUAACUUCGUGCCAGCCGCCGCGGUAAAAC